AGCAGCCGCGGUAAUUCCAGCUCCAAUAGCGUAUAUUAAAGUUGUUGCAGUUAAAAAGCUCGUAGUUGAAUUUCGGGGUCAGUAGGUUGGUCGUGCCACUGGUAUGCACUGGUCUCACUGAUUCCUCCUUCCUGAUGAGCCGUAAUGCCAUUAAUUUGGUGUUGCGGGGAAUCUGGACUGUUACUUUGAAAAAUUAGAGUGUUUAAAGCAGGCUAACGCUUGAAUACAUUAGCAUGGAACAAUGAAAUAGGACGAUCGAUCCUAUUUUGUUGGUUUCUAAGAUUGACGUAAUGAUUAAUAGGGAUAGUUGGGGGCAUUAGUAUUCAAUUGUCAGAGGUGAAAUUCUUGGAUUUAUUGAAGACUAACUACUGCGAAAGCAUUUGCCAAGGAUGUUUUCAU
rnacentral:rRNA from 1 species